GACGAACGCUGGCGGCGUGCUUAACACAUGCAAGUCGAACGAUGAAGCCCUUUCGGGGGUGGAUUAGUGGCGAACGGGUGAGUAACACGUGGGUAACCUGUCCUGUACUGUGGGAUAAGCCUGGGAAACUGGGUCUAAUACCGCAUAAGACCUUUGGACGCAUGUCUUUUGGUGGAAAGUGUACGUGGUAUGGGGUGGGCCCGCGGCCUAUCAGCUUGUUGGUGGGGUGAUGGCCUACCAAGGCGGUGACGGGUAGCCGGCCUGAGAGGGCGACCGGCCACACUGGGACUGAGACACGACCCAGACUCCUACGGGAGGCAGCAGUGGGGAAUAUUGCACAAUGGGCGAAAGCCUGAUGCAGCGACGCCGCGUGAGGGAUGACGGCCUUCGGGUUGUAAACCUCUUUCGCUAGGGACGAAGCGCAAGUGACGGUACCUAGAUAAGAAGCACCGGCUAACUACGUGCCAGCCGCCGCGGUAA
rnacentral:rRNA from 1 species